ACGCACGCUGGCGGCGUACUUAACACAUGCCAGUCGAACGGAAAGGCCCCUUUGGGGGUACUCGAGUGGCGAACGGGUGAGUAACACGUGAGUAACCUGCCCUUGACUUCGGGAUAACUUCAGGAAACUGGGGCUAAUACCGGAUAGGAAUCCUUGCUGCAUGGUGGGGGUUGGAAAGCUUCGGCGGUUUUGGAUGGACUCGCGGCUUAUCAGCUUGUUGGUGGGGUAGUGGCUUACCAAGGCUUUGACGGGUAGCCGGCCUGAGAGGGCGACCGGCCACAUUGGGACUGAGAUACGGCCCAGACUCCUACGGGAGGCAGCAGUGGGGAAUAUUGCACAAUGGGCGGAAGCCUGAUGCAGCAACGCCGCGUGCGGGAUGACGGCCUUCGGGUUGUAAACCGCGUUCAGCAGGGGCGAAGCUUGUGGUGACGGUACCUGCAGAAGAAGCACCGGCUAACUACGUG
rnacentral:rRNA from 1 species